UCUCCUGGAAACGGGUGGUAAUGCCGGAUGCUCCAGUUGAUCGCAUGGUCUUCUGGGAAAGCUUUCGCGGUAUGGGAUGGGGUCGCGUCCUAUCAGCUUGACGGCGGGGUAACGGCCCACCGUGGCUUCGACGGGUAGCCGGCCUGAGAGGGCGACCGGCCACAUUGGGACUGAGAUACGGCCCAGACUCCUACGGGAGGCAGCAGUGGGGAAUAUUGCACAAUGGGCGCAAGCCUGAUGCAGCGACGCCGCGUGAGGGAUGGAGGCCUUCGGGUUGUAAACCUCUUUUAUCGGGGAGCAAGCGAGAGUGAGUUUACCCGUUGAAUAAGCACCGGCUAACUACGUGCCAGCAGCCGCGGUAAUACGUAGGGUGCAAGCGUUAUCCGGAAUUAUUGGGCGUAAAGGGCUCGUAGGCGGUUCGUCGCGUCCGGUGUGAAAGUCCAUCGCUUAACGGUGGAUCCGCGCCGGGUACGGGCGGGCUUGAGUGCGGUAGGGGAGACUGGAAUUCCCGGUGUAACGGUGGAAUGUGUAGAUAUCGGGAAAGAACACCA
rnacentral:rRNA from 2 species